AGUCCUGCAGGACAUUACAAAACUACAGCUCACCAAGCUGGACUUGAGAGAAUUUGCUCCUCCCACAGAAAAUUGACAUUGGCCUAGCUGCAGAUAAAGCCCUGAAGGGGAUGUCAUUCUACAACAGUUUGAGGCUCUCCUGACGCUUGAGUGUAGGAAUGAAGAGCUUUUCUCCUUCCAGCCAAUGGUAAAACGGCUGGACACCUUCUUGUGUGGCUGUUUAAGCUGUGCCUAUCCAGUGGCUUGGGCAUUUUGCCAGAAGCUGCUCCUCCUUUCUCAUGGCCAAGCUUCAGUUGAAAUGGGGUUCUCUGUGAACAAGGAGGUUGAGACUGACAAUAUGCAGGAAGAGACAAUGAUUGCACAUAGACUUGUAUGUGAUUAUGUAGAUUUGCACGGUGGGGUGACCAAAGUUCCCCUCAUAAAAGAACUGCUGGUAUCUGUGGGUGCAGCCAGGUUGAGUUACCGUAUUUUCCUUGAUCAGCAGCGUGCAAGGAAGGAGAGUGAAGCAUGGACACAGAAAAGAAAGCUGGCAAAGGAGUAUUUGACCAACCUUAAGAGAAAGAAAACCACUGUUCAAGAGGUUUCCACCUGUCUCACCAGAGAGGCCGACAUGCUGGCAGAGUUCCUUUCAAACUCGAACGCCCUCAGGUGGGCAAGCAAGGAGAAAUUGGCUGAGCUGAAAAAGGUUGAGGAGGAGAUCACCAUUAAAGGGGACGAACUGAGAAAAAUGUAGAUAGACACUGACUGACUUGUUAUUUUGGAAAGUAAUUCCAUAAAAUAAUUGUUAAUUUACAAUGUUACUUUACAAUGUUACAAUUGUUAAGUCUUGUUCUUGAUACUCAACUCGCACUCUUAAGAAAUUGGAACCUUAAAAUAAUAAAACUUG
ensembl:lncRNA